UACGGAGGGUGCGAGCGUUGUCCGGAAUCAUUGGGCGUAAAGAGCUCGUAGGCGGUCUGUCGCGUCUGCUGUGAAAACUCGGGGCUUAACCCCGGGCCUGCAGUGGGUACGGGCAGACUAGAGUGCGGUAGGGGAGACUGGAAUUCCUGGUGUAGCGGUGAAAUGCGCAGAUAUCAGGAGGAACACCGGUGGCGAAGGCGGGUCUCUGGGCCGUAACUGACGCUGAGGAGCGAAAGCAUGGGGAGCGAACAGG
rnacentral:rRNA from 1 species